rnacentral:tRNA from 1 species
GCCGGUGCGGCGGAACUGGCAGACGCACAGGACUUAAAAUCCUGCGGUAGGUGACUACCUUACCGGUUCGAUUCCGGUCCUCGACACCA